rnacentral:rRNA from 1 species
UGGGGAAUAUUGGACAAUGGGCGAAAGCCUGAUCCAGCCAUGCCGCGUGUGUGAAGAAGGCCUUCGGGUUGUAAAGCACUUUCAGCGAGGAGGAAGGGAGUUGUGUUAAUAGCACAGCUUCUUGACGUUACUCGCAGAAGAAGCACCGGCUAACUCUGUGCCAGCAGCCGCGGUAAUACAGGGGUCUCGAGCGUUAAUCGGAAUCACUGGGCUUAAAGGGUGCGUAGGCGGAUCCGUAAGCGCUUUGUGAAAUCCCCCGGCUCAACCGGGGAACUGCAGGGCGAACUGCGGAUCUUGAGGAAACUAGAGGCCGGUAGAACGAUUGGUGGAGCGGUGGAAUGCGUAGACAUCAAUCGGAAUGCCAAAAGUGAAGACAGCCGGCUGGGGUUUUCCUGACGCUGAGGCACGAAAGCGUGGGGAGCAAACCGGAUUAGAUACCCAAGUAGUCCCUGAGCGGGCUGGCAAGGCGCAU